GACAUCCAGCGAACUUUCCAGAGAUGGAUUGGUGCCUUCGGGAACGCUGAGACAGGUGCUGCAUGGCUGUCGUCAGCUCGUGUUGUGAAAUGUUGGGUUAAGUCCCGCAACGAGCGCAACCCUUAUCCUUUGUUGCCAGCGAUUCGGUCGGGAACUCAAAGGAGACUGCCGGUGAUAAACCGGAGGAAGGUGGGGAUGACGUCAAGUCAUCAUGGCCCUUACGAGUAGGGCUACACACGUGCUACAAUGGCGCAUACAAAGAGAAGCGACCUCGCGAGAGCAAGCGGACCUCAUAAAGUGCGUCGUAGUCCGGAUCGGAGUCUGCAACUCGACUCCGUGAAGUCGGAAUCGCUAGUAAUCGUGGAUCAGAAUGCCACGGUGAAUACGUUCCCGGGCCUUGUACACACCGCCCGUCACACCAUGGGAGUGGGUUGCAAAAGAAGUAGGUAGCUUAACCUUCGGGAGGGCGCUUACCACUUUGUGAUUCAUGACUGGGGUGAAGUCGUAACAAGGUAGGCGUAGCGAG
rnacentral:rRNA from 1 species